GACGAACGCUGGCGGCGUGCUUAACACAUGCAAGUCGAACGGAAAGGCCCUUCGGGGUACUCGAGUGGAAAACGGGUGAGUAACACGUGGGUGAUCUGCCCUGCACUUUGGGAUAAGCCUGGGAAACUGGGUCUAAUACCGGAUAGGACCACGCGCUUCAUGGUGUGUGGUGGAAAGCUUUUGCGGUGUGGGAUGGGCCCGCGGCCUAUCAGCUUGUUGGUGGGGUAAUGGCCUACCAAGGCGACGACGGGUAGCCGGCCUGAGAGGGUGACCGGCCACACUGGGACUGAGAUACGGCCCAGACUCCUACGGGAGGCAGCAGUGGGGAAUAUUGCACAAUGGGCGCAAGCCUGAUGCAGCGACGCCGCGUGAGGGAUGACGGCCUUCGGGUUGUAAACCUCUUUCAAUAGGGACGAAGCGCAAGUGACGGUACCUAUAGAAGAAGGACCGGCCAACUACGUGCCAGCAGCCGCGGUAAUACGUAGGGUCCGAGCGUUGUCCGGAAUUACUGGGCGUAAAGAGCUCGUAGGUGGUUUGUCGCGUUGUUCGUGAAAACUCACAGCUUAACUGUGGGCGUGCGGGCGAUACGGGCAGACUAGAGUACUGCAGGGGAGACUGGAAUUCCUGGUGUAGCGGUGGAAUGCGCAGAUAUCAGGAGGAACACCGGUGGCGAAGGCGGGUCUCUGGGCAGUAACUGACGGGGAGGAGCGAAAGCGUGGGGAGCGAACAGGAUUAGAUACCCUGGUAGUCCACGCCGUAAACGGUGGGUACUAGGUGUGGGUUUCCUUCCUUGGGAUCCGUGCCGUAGCUAACGCAUUAAGUACCCCGCCUGGGGAGUACGGCCGCAAGGCUAAAACUCAAAGGAAUUGACGGGGGCCCGCACAAGCGGCGGAGCAUGUGGAUUAAUUCG
rnacentral:rRNA from 1 species